UCAACGCAGACAUGUCAUAUUCUGUGUUCUCCAUCAUCACGUGCUCCAUCUCUCAUCACCAUUAGAGUCUGUACCAGCCACCAUGAAAGAAGGGCCAUCACACCAUUUGAAAAGAGUGAUUAAAGCUCAUCAGAUACGUUUUGGAAGAGCAGAAGAACGAUCGAUCAAAACUGAGUAUUUCGAAUCCAACUUUUGAGAUCGGAUCUGCCGAUAGUCAACUUCAUCGGUGUUUUCCCGUUGAUCUAGAAGGAACCAGAAAACGAGCGAGAUAUCAUCAGAAAAAUCUCGUUGUCAGCUUUCCAUAUCAUCUUCCCGAUCGUAAAACCAAGGCACGGUUGGAAAGUUAUCGACGUUACUUCUUGGCCAAGGAUAAACUGAAGCUUUAGUGAUGCAGAUACAGUUCCGACCAGUCUCAGCGUAAAGGCCAAACGGCCGACCUAAAUGAAAGCUUUCAAUCUGUAAAUUUUUCAUAUUACUGCAGUCUUCGUUUGCGACCAGCCUGGAGGUGAAGCUAAUUUGGUUAAUCAAAUGGUGUCCGAUCGGAGUGCACUCGGUGUCUAUGGACAGAGGACAUAUAGGACUACAUUAUGACCGGACGGAUUGAAAAGUUAACGGUCAGUUCUUGAGAUAUCCAUCUGUUUUCUCUAGGGUUCAGUCCUGCCAGAAUUAUCAUAUUCAUUUAUUUUCAGAGAGUUCCAGAGUUACUGUUUCAGAUUCGUCAAGGUUCAUUAUGUGUUUUCUCAGGUUAUCUUCAGAACUCGUGGCAAAGGUGAGGGUCUAUUCCGUAAAUUCCGUACCAAAAUAGAAUUCUUUCUAUCGUAGUUUAGAUUUCGAAAUAUGAAUUAAGUCUGUUUGAGUCGUGAUUGUUAGUUAGAUUAUGUAUUGUAAACCGGAAUUAGGGGUCUAGAGGAUUCAACUAUUGAUUGGAUUGUGUGAUGUUGAGAUAUGAGAUAUAUAUUUAUAUAUAUAUAUAUGUAUGUACAUAGUUAUAUAGUAGGGACUAUGUGAUGUGCAGGUUCAGAGACAUCUGAGCUGUCGACCAGAUGUGGUGUGCGGGGGUUCAGGAAUGCCUGAGCUAGCGACGCAGA